UAUUGGACAAUAGGCGCAAGCCUGAUCCAGCAAUACCGCGUGUGUGAAGAAGGCCUUAGGGUUGUAAAGCACUUUCAAUUGGGAGGAAAACCUGCCGGUCAAUACCCGGUAGCUUGACAUUACCUUUAGAAGAAGCACCGGCUAACUCCGUGCCAGCAGCCGCGGUAAUACGGAGGGUGCGAGCGUUAAUCGGAAUUACUGGGCGUAAAGCGUGCGUAGGCGGUUCGUUAAGUCAGAUGUGAAAGCCCUGGGCUCAACCUGGGAACUGCAUUUGAAACUGGCGGACUAGAGUUUAGUAGAGGGGAGUGGAAUUUCAGGUGUAGCGGUGAAAUGCGUAGAUAUUUGAAGGAACACCAGUGGCGAAGGCGACUCCCUGGACUAGAACUGACGCUGAGGACGAAA
rnacentral:rRNA from 1 species